rnacentral:misc_RNA from 1 species
AAGUCGUAACAAGGUUUCCGUAGGUGAACCUGCGGAAGGAUCAGCAGUAAAUCUAUCAUUAUAAUCAAUGAUUUUCUCUCUACCCUGUGAUAAGAAUUAUGUGGUAUAAACAUAAUUUUUGUAAAGGAUUUAAUCCCAUAAUUUCACUUGGUGAUAUUAUUGGUAUAACUUUAGUGUGAAAUUACUACCUAAAACCUUACAGGAACCUCCCAUCCAGUAUUGGUUGUCAAGUAGUUAAUGGAUUACUUGAGAUUAUCCAUAAUUUUACUGGUAAAUUUGGGUUAACUUUUACAGUUAAAAACCCUAUUAUCCAAAGUUUAUUGGUCAUUUAUUAUACUUAACUGUAUAAUUAAUUAAAAAAUACAACUUUCAACAAUGGAUCUCUUGGUUCUC